rnacentral:rRNA from 1 species
GGAUGAGCCGGCGGCCUAUCAGCUUGUUGGUGGGGUAAUGGCCAACCAAGGCGACGACGGGUAGCCGGCCUGAGAGGGCGACCGGCCACACUGGGACUGAGACACGGCCGAGACUCCUAGGGGAGGCAGCAGUGGGGAAUAUUGCACAAAGGGCGNAAGCCUGAUGCAGCGACGCCGCGAGAGGGAUGAGGGCCAUCGGGUUGUAAACCUCUUUCAGCAGGGAAGAAGCGCAAGUGACGGUACCUGCAGAAGAAGCACCGGCUAACUACGU